rnacentral:rRNA from 1 species
UUGAACGCUGGCGGCAUGCCUUACACAUGCAAGUCGAACGGCAGCGCGGGAGCAAUCCUGGCGGCGAGUGGCGAACGGGUGAGUAAUACAUCGGAACGUGCCCAGUAAUGGGGGAUAGCUCGGCGAAAGCCGGAUUAAUACCGCAUACGCCCUGAGGGGGAAAGUGGGGGACCGCAAGGCCUCACGUUAUUGGAGCGGCCGAUGGCUGAUUAGCUAGUUGGUAGGGUAAAGGCCUACCAAGGCGACGAUCAGUAGCUGGUCUGAGAGGACGAUCAGCCACACUGGGACUGAGACAUGGCCCAGACUCCUACGGGAGGCAGCAGUGGGGAAUUUUGGACAAUGGGGGAAACCCUGAUCCAGCAAUGCCGCGUGUGCGAAGAAGGCCUUCGGGUUGUAAAGCACUUUUGUCAGGGAAGAAAUCCUUUGGGCUAAUACCCUAGGGGGAUGACGGUACCUGAAGAAUAAGCACCGGCUAACUACGUGCCAGCAGCCGCGGUAAUACGUAGGGUGCAAGCGUUAAUCGGAAUUACUGGGCGUAAAGCGUGCGCAGGCGGUUGUGUAAGACAGGUGUGAAAUCCCCGGGCUUAACCUGGGAAUUGCAUUUGUGACUGCACGACUAGAGUGUGUCAGAGGGGGGUGGAAUUCCACGUGUAGCAGUGAAAUGCGUAGAUAUGUGGAGGAACACCAAUGGCGAAGGCAGCCCCCUGGGAUAACACUGACGCUCAUGCACGAAAGCGUGGGGAGCAAACAGGAUUAGAUACCCUGGUAGUCCACGCCCUAAACGAUGUCAACUAGUUGUUGGGGAUUUACUUCCUUGGUAACGUAGCUAACGCGUGAAGUUGACCGCCUGGGGAGUACGGCCGCAAGGUUAAAACUCAAAGGAAUUGACGGGGACCCGCACAAGCGGUGGAUGAUGUGGAUUAAUUCGAUGCAACGCGAAAAACCUUACCUACCCUUGACAUGGCAGGAACUUUCCAGAGAUGGAUUGGUGCUCGAAAGAGAACCUGCACACAGGUGCUGCAUGGCUGUCGUCAGCUCGUGUCGUGAGAUGUUGGGUUAAGUCCCGCAACGAGCGCAACCCUUGUCAUUAGUUGCUACAUUCAGUUGGGCACUCUAAUGAGACUGCCGGUGACAAACCGGAGGAAGGUGGGGAUGACGUCAAGUCCUCAUGGCCCUUAUAGGUGGGGCUACACACGUCAUACAAUGGCUGGUACAAAGGGUUGCCAACCCGCGAGGGGGAGCUAAUCCCAUAAAACCAGUCGUAGUCCGGAUCGCAGUCUGCAACUCGACUGCGUGAAGUCGGAAUCGCUAGUAAUCGUGGAUCAGAAUGUCACGGUGAAUACGUUCCCGGGUCUUGUACACACCGCCCGUCACACCAUGGGAGCGGGUUCUGCCAGAAGUAGUUAGCUUAACCGCAAGGAGGGCGAUUACCACGGCAGGGUUCGUG